rnacentral:lncRNA from 1 species
GCUGGUGGCUCUGGUGAGGCACCUUCUUCACUACAACUGACAUCCUGAUCACUCGGGGACCAGCUUGCCCACCCACGGGCCAGACCCAGUGGCCACUACCAGGACGCUUUUGUCUCUGGUCUCCUCCUGAUGUAGACGACUGGCCAGAGUGCUCUGACCAGGGCUGCACCUGUGGCAUAUGGAAUCGUAAUGCCAGAUCUGAGCCUUGUCUCUGACCUACACCGUGGACCACAAACACUGGAUCCUUAACCCACUGAGCGAGGCCAUGGAUCGAACCUGCAACCUCAUGGUUCCAAGUCGGAUUUGUUUCCACUGCGCCACAAUGGGAACUCUGAGUUGUGUUAAAAUAUGUCCACACCCUCCUCCUUCCCUCUCCACCUGAUCAUCUCCACUCUCUGGGGGACACCAAUCCACAGGAACAGAGCUAGAAUCAGUGAUCUCCAUCUCCUCCCUCCUUCUCCACCUGAGCAUCUUCCUCCUCAGUGGGACGCCUGUGCCAAGAAAGCUACCUAAGUCCAGGUCAGGUGAGUCUUUCCUAUGGGGUCCUUGAUUUCAAGCUGGGUGUCAGGGCUGAAGGGUGCCAAGUGAUUGAAAGCCUGUUCAUGGGACUGAAGAAUCAGGGUCUCUGAUUUCAGGGGGUGAGAUGGUAUUGGGUGCGUUUAGUGUCCCAGCUGACUUUGAGAUAGACAUUUCCCCAUUGGAUGUGCAUUUCUGUGCAAUGAGAGCGAGAGGAGGAAGGCAAUCAUGCUGGCAAGUGGCCCAGGCCAGUGCAGGCCAGACUUCUGCUGUGGGAGGCAGAGGAAGGGCGGAGAGUUGCUGUUGGAGCCCAUGUCCGCCAGAUGGCGCCAGAGCCUCAAGAACAGCCUCUCUGUAGCUCCCUGGCUGCCUCUGCAAGCUCCAUAGGGUGAUGGAGAUGGAUGGAUAGAACCUCAAGGAGGUGCCUAGACCCUUGUGUAUGUGUUUAUUGUGCCUAUGAGCCCAUGGCCCAACUUGCCUCAGCUCAGGGAGGGGACAACUAUAGUCUGCCCUCACAUGAAAAAUUUGUCUGCAUAGGUGGAAAAUUGAUCUGAUAGUAUGACUGUCUAAGGUCUGAGUGUCCUUUGUUUAUUUGGAGGGAGAACUCUUAUCCCAGAAAUACCUGGCUUGAACCAUGGCCGUGCAGUUUUUAAAGUCAGCGUGAUGAUAGAGUUUUGCUUCUGGAAAGCGGGGCUCGUGGUGGUGAAUGCAGUCAGUGCGGUGCUAUUUGGGGAGAUGGGGUGGGCUGGGCUCUUUCUCUUCAGGUAAAUCCACACCCUCCCCCUUCCCUCUCUACCUGAGCCUCUCUAUCCUCUGGGGAACACCUACUCGAAGGUACCGAGCUAAAACCAGGUAAGGUGUAUAACAGCUGGCUUGUGCAUCAUUUCCAUCUAAGUUCCAGGGAUGAAGGCUGCUUAUUCAGUGCCUGGUCUUGGAAUUCUAAUUGUGUCUCAGAGUUGAGAAACCUGACUACUCUCUUUGAGGAAUCCAGUUUCAAACCCUGGCCUUGCUUAGGGGGUUAAGCUUAUGGCGCUGCUGUGAGCUGUGUGUACACAUCGUAGACAGGGCUGUUAUCCCAUGUUGCUGUGGCAUAUGCCCACAGUUAUAGCUCUGAUUUGAGCCUUAACCUGGGAACCUAACAUAUGCUGUGAGUGAGGCCCUAAAAAGCUUAAAAA